AAGACACUAGUAAAAUAGUCAAUUACAUUGCCUUGUCAUGGCAAAAUUGAAGGUUAAAGGCCUCCGUGUUUUA
rnacentral:tRNA from 3 species